CAAUGCAUGAAUGCAACUAUGUGAUGAAUGAGUGAACUAUGAAGUAAUUGCCUUGUCAAUUAUAAUACCUCAGAUUGUGCUAAUGUUCUCGAAUUUCAUCUCUCUCGCUACCAAGUCAACUACUCUUCUAUUUACAAGUGUGGAGUGCCAAUGUGUGCAAGCAUGCUCUUUUAUUGAGACAAGACAAAACUACUACUCCCACAGAAUCCCCAUCAAGAAUCGUAAAAGUUUAAAACUAACACCCCGUCACUCAAGUCCAACUAAAGCCAAGGUCCCAAAGAAUGUCCACACCCUUCUAUUUUAUUCACUAUAUAUUUUUUUUUUCUUUUUAUUUUUGUUGGUGAUUAAUUGCUCGGUCUAGGGUCAGAGCGCUUCGCAGUGUAAAUGCGUUACGAACACCACAAGACUUCACACACCAAUUAUUCACU
rnacentral:lncRNA from 1 species